rnacentral:rRNA from 1 species
UACGUAGGUGGCAAGCGUUGUCCGGAUUUACUGGGCGUAAAGGGUGCGUAGGCGGAUGAUUAAGUCAGAUGUGAAAUACCAGGGCUCAACCCUGGGGCUGCAUUUGAUACUGGUUAUCUAGAGUGCAGGAGAGGAGAGCGGUAUUCCUAGUGUAGCGGUGAAAUGCGUAGAGAUUAGGAAGAACACCAGUGGCGAAGGCGGCUCUCUGGACUGUAACUGACGCUGAGGCACGAAAGCGUGGGGAGCAAACAGG